rnacentral:rRNA from 1 species
UACGAAGGGGGCUAGCGUUGUUCGGAAUUACUGGGCGUAAAGCGCGCGCAGGCGGCUCUCUAAGUCAGUGGUGAAAUCCCAGAGCUCAACUCCGGAACUGCCAUUGAAACUGUUUAGCUUGAGGACGAGAGAGGUGAGUGGAAUUCCCAGUGUAGAGGUGAAAUUCGUAGAUAUUGGGAAGAACACCGGUGGCGAAGGCGGCUCACUGGCUCGUAUCUGACGCUCAGGCGCGAUAGCGAGGGGAUCAAACAGG